ACCAAAAUCCUCGGCUUCGUUCUCUGUCCCUAUCUCCUACACCGAAUCUGGGCAACACGAUUUUUUGUGAUUAAUUUUACGAUUUUACACGGUAAAUUUGGGGGAAAAAAAUAAUUAAAUUAGAACAAACCCAAUAUCUUUAUCGCAAAAGUGUGUAUAUUCAUAGUCGCCCCUUAAAAGUGCAAAGAAACUUUGCUAACUUCUUGCCCUGGUCAAAGAAGAGAGCAAUGGAAACAAGAGUGAAAGAGAGGGAGAGAGAGCCUGUGGCCCCUAUAUAAAAGGAAAAUACACCCCACCCCACUUGGAGAUGUUGGAGUGUGGUGGACCUAAUUAUAAUUUUUGCAGUGACAUUAAAUAAUGUUCCAGUGAAUAUGAAAAAGUCAAAACAAAGCACAUUUCGACAAAGGGCGGCGAUAUGUUAGUGCCACAAAGAACAAUAACACCUGCAGACGACGACAAAACGAGGAAAAAGGAAGCUCAGUUCUAACAAAGAGCAGGGGCAAUGGUCUAGAAAGCAUUUAAAAGAUAAAAAAAGGAUUACAACGACAAAUGAUCAAUCAUCAUCACUGCAGCGAAAACUGUGUUAUAAAGCCAAACAGAAUCCCUCAGAAAAAAGGAGGAGGGUGGGUGUAAAGUAUCAUAAAUUUUUGUUUGAAUGAAUCAUCAAGGGACAUUGUGGCGUUAACGGAAAAUAAACUCAGUUCUUCUCUGUUUUUUCGUCACUGGAGGGAAUCAAAUAACAUAGAGGCAGUGUAUUGAACAUUAAAGCAGUGAUAAAUGUGCAUUAUCCAGAAAAAAUCCAUUACAAGCAAUAAUAUAUCAUAUAAUACAUGUUGGCGCUGGCAGCCAAAUUAUUAACAUCAUAUGGAUAAGACAUCAUUACAGCAUUAGGAUAAUAAUAAAUUCACAUAAACCAGUACAGCAAUAUACUACAAGGAAGUUAGGAGCAGUCUCCAAAAAAUAAGUCUUCAUCUAGUAAAUAAAUCAU